AGCGAACGCUGGCGGCAUGCCUAACACAUGCAAGUCGCACGGGGGGGCUUCGUCCUCCCAGUGGCGGACGGGUGAGGAACGCGUAGGGACCUGUCGAGGGGUGGGGGAUAACCGCGGGAAACUGCGGCUAAUACCGCAUGACGCCGCGGCGUGACAGCCGGGGCCACAGGCGAAAGCCGUCCGGCGAGGGGUCUGCGCCCGAAUAGCUGGUCGGCGGGGUAGCGGCCCAGCAAGGGGGCGAGCGGCAGCCGGUCGGGGAGGUUGAUCCGCAACACCAGGAGUGGGACCCGGCGCGGACUCCUGGGGGAGGCCGCAGUGCGGAAUAUUGGACGCUGGGCGCGAGCAUGAUGCAGCCGUGCCGCGUGGGUGAAGAAGGUCUUAGGAUUGUAAAGCCGUUUGGGAGGGGAAGCUAGUGACGGUACCCGCAGAAGAAGCCCCGGCUAACUUCGUG
rnacentral:rRNA from 1 species